UUUGUCUUUGGGAUUAUUAAGUAGUCUUGUUAAUAAAGAAUAAUGCAACAGUACAAACCUGUAAAGAAAUAAAUGCAGUUUGGGAGGAUUUGGGAAGGAAUAAUUUGAGAGGAUUUUCCAGAUAUGAAGAGAUAGGUUGUAGAUUUGCAUGGGAGCAUCUUCUGCUCAAAGUCUUGCCAAAAAGCCAUCAUAUGCUUUGUGCAGGCUAGCGACAGUGGCUACCCUUUAGUCCCCACACCUUCUGCCAAAUUGAUCCUCCAUUCUUCAUCUUUCAAUUUCCUUCUACCACCCUCCGUUUUAACUUAUUCCACUCUUAACUGUCUCCCUUUUAUCCUCUUCACUGAUCUGUCAUUUGAUGCUCAAGUAUCAGGGGCAGUUGUGCACCAGAACAAUGGUAACCUAUUACAAGUUUGCUUUGUCUGAGACCAAAAGUUCAACACAAUCCGAAAAUAGUAUAUAAAAUUAUUAAACUAAAGCUUCUUUUGGAAACCCAAAGUUCUUUAUGUCUUCCAUCUUCAAGCUAGCUAGCUGCUCACGUUAGAAAGCAAUGAUUACAUGAAUCUGCAGAUCCAAGACAAUCUGUUUUCUACCCCUUAUAUAUACUUUGGUCCUCACACAACAUUUCGCUUUCUUGUCCCAUAUCGCCUCCCUUUUGUUGUAUGUUUAUUAAAUUUAAUUUAUGUAUUCCCUAUAUUGAUAUAUAUACGUACAUAUUUAAUAUGUUUUAUAUAAACAUCGUAUUGUAAGAAAAUUAACAUCUCAAAAAUUUACACAACAUCUCACAAAAAUUUUAUAAAAUUCGUAUUUAACUCAAACUACCAACGUAUAUAAAACAUAUCCGAUUUAUCAACACCGAAUUUAGUAAAAAAAUCAACAACUGCAUUAAUCUCAUGCAUGAAAGGUAUGUACGAAAACAGCUUCACCGAUACUCUUCCACAAGCGGUGGAUAGUUAGCAUCUCAAAAAACAGAUACUAAAACUACAAAAUUCAUAAAAAAAAAAAAAAUCUAAAGAUAAUUAGUUCAAGCAUUUUAACGUUAAAAUUAAGGGGAAUGUGAUCAAUGGCGAUAGACUGAGAUCCAUGAAAUCAAAUAAUUGAAGUCAGUUCCAUUAUGUAUUCAUGAAAACCAAACAAACAACACCUAUACAAUAAUUUUGAAAGAAAAAGACAAGAUUGUGUUCUUUCAACUUGAAGGUACCUCCGACAAGCAAGUGAAUCGUCAAAGGGUUUCUGGCGUUGGCACCACUCGAUUUGUUUCACGUCAAGUCAUCUCAACAUAUUAGCGUAUGAAGGUGUCUUUGGGUGAGACAGACAAAAUAUGAGUGAUUUUGAGGAUCUCCCAGACUAAUCUCGACAUGUAACAGAUUCAAUGGUCCAAAGACAUGCUACGUAGAGUGUUGUGAAUCACUCCCUAUGUAUGCAUCGAUGUC
rnacentral:lncRNA from 1 species